rnacentral:rRNA from 1 species
GACGUAGGGCGCGAGCGUUGUCCGGAUUUAUUGGGCGUAAAGAGCUCGUAGGCGGCUUGUCGCGUCGACUGUGAAAACCCGUGGCUCAACUGCGGGCCUGCAGUCGAUACGGGCAGGCUAGAGUUCGGUAGGGGAGACUGGAAUUCCUGGUGUAGCGGUGAAAUGCGUAGAUAUCAGGAGGAACACCUGCGGUGUAGACGGCUUACUGGACCGUAACUGACGCUGAGGCACGAAAGCGUGGGUAGCAAACAGG